CUCAAUCAAAUUCUGAAGUUUUUGAGGCAAGUCAUUCUCCACAAUCAAUUGCUUUGGGCGUGGGUGGUGCUCAUAUACAGCCUGACACAACAAGUAAGCCGUCAAUAGUUGGGUGUAAGAGACAGAAAAAGCAUAUUCCAAAUUUAUUUUGAUUUUUAAUAUCAAGUUAAAACAAAAUCAUGAACAGGCACUAAGCUUGUACACUAGAUCCGAAUAACACUCUGAUUGUAUUCUCUCUUUCAAGCAGUAACUAUGGAGUACUAAAAGUAAAUUCAACAUGGCCUUCCUGGCUAGCUGUAAGUUGUUAAAUUUGACUAGCUUCUACUCUAAUCUAUGUUUUACCAACCACUAUUAUGCCAGACAGACAUUUAUCAAUUAUGGGAUGGGUGAUGGGGUAGCCAAUCCUUAUUCACUAAACUGCAUUCCAAAAUAUUUGGGCCUUGAUAUGUAAGUAAGCUAUGUGUAUCCAAAAAAAUCCCUAUUUCACCGACUGCAUCCUUGGUAUAGAACCAUCAACUAGUUAUCCCAGCAGACAC
rnacentral:lncRNA from 1 species